AGAGUUUGAUCCUGGCUCAGAGUGAACGCUGGCGGCGUGCUUAACACAUGCAAGUCGAACGAGAACGGAUUAUAGCUUGCUAUAAUUGUCAGCUAAGUGGCGCACGGGUGAGUAAUAUAUAGAUAACCUGCCCUCAAGAAAGGAAUAACAGUUGGAAACGACUGCUAAUGCCCUAUAUGCCUUUAAUACAUAAGUAUGCAAGGGAAACGCUUUAGUGCUUGAGGAUGGGUCUGUAUGGUAUCAGCUUGUUGGUGAGGUAAUGGCUCACCAAGGCUAUGACGCCUAACUGGUUUGAGAGGAUGAUCAGUCACACUGGAACUGAGACACGGUCCAGACUCCUACGGGAGGCAGCAGUGGGGAAUAUUGCACAAUGGACGAAAGUCUGAUGCAGCAACGCCGCGUGGAGGAUGACACAUUUCGGUGCGUAAACUCCUUUUAUAUAGGAAGAUAAUGACGGUACUAUAUGAAUAAGCACCGGCUAACUCCGUGCCAGCAGCCGCGGUAAUACGGAGGGUGCAAGCGUUACUCGGAAUCACUGGGCGUAAAGAGCGUGUAGGCGGGUAUAUAAGUCAGAAGUGAAAUCCAAUAGCUUAACUAUUGAACUGCUUUUGAAACUGUAUACCUAGAAUGUGGGAGAGGUAGAUGGAAUUUCUGGUGUAGGGGUAAAAUCCGUAGAGAUCAGAAGGAAUACCGAUUGCGAAGGCGAUCUACUGGAACAUUAUUGACGCUGAGACGCGAAAGCGUAGGGAGCAAACAGGAUUAGAUACCCUGGUAGUCCACGCCCUAAACGAUGCACACUAGUUGUUGUGAGGCUCGACCUUGCAGUAAUGCAG
rnacentral:rRNA from 1 species